rnacentral:rRNA from 1 species
UACGAAGGGUGCAAGCGUUAAUCGGAAUUACUGGGCGUAAAGCGUGCGUAGGCGGUCUUUUAAGUCUGCUGUGAAAUCCCCGGGCUCAACCUGGGAAUGGCAGUGGAUACUGGGAGGCUAGAGUGUGUCAGAGGAUGGUGGAAUUCCCGGUGUAGCGGUGAAAUGCGUAGAGAUCGGGAGGAACAUCAGUGGCGAAGGCGAGUCCCUGGACAACUUCUGACGCUGAGGCACGAAAGCUAGGGGAGCAAACAGG